rnacentral:rRNA from 1 species
UACGGAGGAUUCGAGCGUUAUCCGGAUUUAUUGGGUUUAAAGGGUGCGUAGGCUGUCGGAUAAGUUAGAGGUCAAAUGUCGGGGCUUAACCCCGUGCCUGCCUCUGAUACUGUUCGACUGGAGAGCGGAUGCAGCAGGCGGAAUGAGUAGUGUAGCGGUGAAAUGCUUAGAUAUUACUCAGAACACCGAUUGCGAAGGCAUCUCACGAAUCCGCGAUUGACGCUGAUGCACGAAAGCGUGGGUAUCAAACAGG